rnacentral:rRNA from 1 species
UACGUAGGGUGCGAGCGUUGUCCGGAAUUACUGGGCGUAAAGAGCUCGUAGGUGGUUUGUCGCGUUGUUCGUGAAAACUCACAGCUUAACUGUGGGCGUGCGGGCGAUACGGGCAGACUUGAGUACUGCAGGGGAGACUGGAAUUCCUGGUGUAGCGGUAGAAUGCGCAGAUAUCAGGAGGAACACCCGUGGCUAAGGCGGCUCUCUAGUACGUGACUGACGCUGAGACGCGAAAGCGUGGGGAGCGAACAGG